rnacentral:lncRNA from 1 species
CCACACACGGACACAGUUGCGGUACAUACACGUCCCUGUUCAUUCAUGUUUACCUUCCAGCUGCCUUCUUUCGAGCAGUCGAGUUUCGACCGAGUCGAAGGCCCCGUCGGUCCAAAACAAAAGCCGAGAUCACCAAUUUGCAGUCGAAACGUGCAGACACGCCUACCGAACUAUCGACAUCUAACUGCUUCUAUCCAGCUUUUUGAAUCCGUCUCUUACAGUUAUCUCUGUCGCCGAUAUACAUAUGUGUAUGUAUGUAUGUAUGUAUGUAUGUAUGUAUGUAUGUAUGUAUGUAUGUAUGUAUGUAUGUAGUUUUGGAGAGGUUUGGAGUCUUCAAGAGACAGCGUGACAGUAUGUAGGAAGGCGAGCGUUUGUCGCGUGCUCGACUCUGACUCUUGGCACCUCCUUCUGCAAAUUUUUUUCGCGUUGUCCGUCUUUCGAGGUCUUUCUCUCUGGACCGGGAGAUACACAGCGGUGUGUCUCCCUUUUCUCUUACUCUCGGAGCGCGAGAAUGCCGGCUGCUUGCUGGCGAUUUGCGUCGACAAACGCCUUGGAGGCAUCCAUGGCGAGGCGCCGCUGGCUGCUGUUUAGGAGGUGAUGAGAUUCGCGGAAGGCGGCGAGAAAAGACCCAACUUGAGAGAGAAACACCAGGAGGCGGAGACACACAUGAUGCUCUGCUCGUUGUCUCUCCUGCGAAAACGAAAGACCCAGAAAUCACAGAAACAACAGGAAGAACGGUAGAGGAAAACGAGGUCGACAGCGAGAGUCAACCUGGACCCGGGACCGCACCUUUCCUGCCUGCCGCGGUUUUCUGCGCUCAGUGUGCCUUCCGUGUCCGGUGGAGUCUCGCUGUAACGCGUACUUCCAUUCGCGAUGCGAGGACGUCCAAGUCCAUCUGCAACUCUUCCAAGUGUUGCUCUUGAAGAGGCCGGAGAAGCUGCGCUGCAACCGCCCGGGCUGUAUCGCACGCUCCCCAGAGGAUGCGGGCGUUGAAGUGCUCAACCCUGUCUGAGCAUGUGUCUAAAGAGGCAAACGCACGCAAAACCUGCGAACGAUCUCUGCAGGUUCUCUGCAGGUCCAGAAUCGAAGCUUAGCCUCUGCGUGAUGCAGUGAUUCUUUUGAGACAAGCGAGCCUUUAAACGAGUGCGCAUUUGGCGCAGACGUUUAUCACUUCCUCAACUGCUCAGGCUUCAUUUGCUCUUUCUGGCAGGGGCGCCCGCCGGCCGCCGCUUCCGCACGCGCUGGUGGCGAAGGCAAAGACAGGGAAAAAGUGAGGACGACAAAAGGCAGCCUUUGUGUGCGAUCGAACUCACGAAUCAACGCUUCACUUCUCCGCCUCUGAAUCUCCUUCAGAUCGAUAAAGUCGCCGACAAGAUUUCGCAUCCAGGCCUCGCCGACCUCGCGAAUCCGUCCGAGGCGCCCCAUCCAGCGGUUCACCUUCUCAGGCGUCAUGGAGGCGGGGAGACACUCCAGAGCUUCGUGGAUCUGGGGAAAAGACAAAAGCAG